rnacentral:rRNA from 1 species
AGGACGAACGCUGGCGGCGUGCCUAAUACAUGCAAGUUGAGCGGACCGACGGGAGCUUGCUUCCUUAAGUCAGCGGCGGACGGGUGAAUAACAAGUGGGUAACCUGCCUGUAAGGCUGGGAUUACUUCGGGAAACCGGGGCUAAUACCGGAUGCUUGAUUGAACCGCAUGGUUUCAAUCAUAAAAGGUGGCUUUCAGCUACCACUUACAGAUGGACCCGCGGCGCAUUAGCUAGUUGGUGAGGUAACGGCUCACCAAGGCGACGAUGCGUAGCCGACCUGAGAGGGUGAUCGGCCACACUGGGACUGAGACACGGCCCAGACUCCUACGGGAGGCAGCAGUAGGGAAUCUUCCGCAAUGGACGAAAGUCUGACGGAGCAACGCCGCGUGAGUGAUGAAGGUUUUCGGAUCGUAAAACUCUGUUGUUAGGGAAGAACAAGUACCGUUCGAAUAGGGCGGCACCUUGACGGUACCUAACCAGAAAGCCACGGCUAACUACGUGCCAGCAGCCGCGGUAAUACGUAGGUGGCAAGCGUUGUCCGGAAUUAUUGGGCGUAAGCGCGCGCAGGCGGUUUUUAAGUCUGAUGUGAAAGCCCCCGGCUCAACCGGGGAGGGUCAUUGGAAACUGGGGAAUUUGAGUGCAGAAGAGGAGAGUGGAAUUCCACGUGUAGCGGUGAAAUGCGUAGAGAUGUGGAGGAACACCAGUGGCGAAGGCGACUCUCUGGUCUGUAACUGACGCUGAGGCGCGAAAGCGUGGGGAGCGAACAGGAUUAGAUACCCUGGUAGUCCACGCCGUAAACGAUGAGUGCUAAGUGUUAGAGGGUUUCCGCCCUUUAGUGCUGCAGCAAACGCAUUAAGCACUCCGCCUGGGGAGUACGGUCGCAAGACUGAAACUCAAAGGAAUUGACGGGGGCCCGCACAAGCGGUGGAGCAUGUGGUUUAAUUCGAAGCAACGCGAAGAACCUUACCAGGUCUUGACAUCCUCUGACAACCCUAGAGAUAGGGCUUCCCCUUCGGGGGCAGAGUGACAGGUGGUGCAUGGUUGUCGUCAGCUCGUGUCGUGAGAUGUUGGGUUAAGUCCCGCAACGAGCGCAACCCUUGAUCUUAGUUGCCAGCAUUCAGUUGGGCACUCUAAGGUGACUGCCGGUGACAAACCGGAGGAAGGUGGGGAUGACGUCAAAUCAUCAUGCCCCCUUAUGACCUGGGCUACACACGUGCUACAAUGGGCAGAACAAAGGGCAGCGAAGCCCGCGAGGCUAAGCCAAUCCCACAAAUCUGUUCUCAGUUCGGAUCGCAGUCUGCAACUCGACUGCGUGAAGCUGGAAUCGCUAGUAAUCGCGGAUCAGCAUGCGCGGGUGUGGAUAUACGUUCCCGGGCCCUUGUUACCACACCGCCCCGUCACACCACGAGAGUUUGUAACACCCGAAGUCGGUGAGGUAACCUUUUGGAGCCAGCCGCCGAAAGUGGGACAGAUGAUUGGGGUGA